rnacentral:lncRNA from 1 species
GAGGGCACUGAUUCAGCUGGGUUGCCGCCCAACUGUACCAGUAGUGUUCAUUGGACAACAACAUAGGUGGUGCUGAUGAAGUCAUAAGCCUCAACGUCCAAAACAAGCUUGCCCAGUUGCUUUUGAGGGCUAGAGCAAUAUUUAUCCGGAGUUCAUAGCCAUGCAAUGCAAAAUCACCCUAGAGAAUCAAACAAGAGGCUCUAAUCUUCUUAAAGCUAAUAAUAUUACUACAUAGUUCCUAGCUAUGACUACUAUAUAUCAGAAGGUUUAGUAACAGAGCUUCUUCUAGUCUGUUUGUACUCUUAAUUCUUCAUUUCUUGUUCUGGUGCACAAUGUCAUUCUCAUUUCUUGAAUAAUGUAAGUCAAGCCUAUGCUAGACAUGACCAUCGGCCAUGGCAUGCACGUGUUAUCAAAUGCAACUAUGCAAGGCUCAGUUAUAAUAGGAAAUAUAUUCUAAUUUUCAUAAAAACUUGCAUUUGGAAUUUGGAUGAAAAUUUUAACUUGAAAUGAGAGAAUUAACAAAUACCCACCCUGCAUAGAAGGAAAAAUAAUAAUAAAAAUGAUAGUGUAAUUUUUUAAAUAACAAAAGAUUGAAUAUAAUUCAGACAAAUCUAAAGUGAUGUAUAAUAAAAUUGUUUGUAUUGACUUGCACUCGAUUAAUAAAUAAAUUAAAUAUAGGUAUCUCAAUUCAAGUCCAAGAUUAAUGAUGAUGUAUUCUUGUUUAUUAAACCAAACCUAUAAAGCCAACUCAGGUUGCUACAAUUUCGUUAGGAAUCUCCAAAAUAUGAAAAGAGCAAAAGUUAUGACAAACAAGCUUUUGUUCAAAUAAUAAAUUAAGACUUUUAAAAUGAGAAACAAAAAACAUGCACUUCACCACUGAAGGCUCCUUAUUAACGGAAAGAAAAAGAAAAUCAAGAUAACAAAAUCCAUGCAAAGAGUGUUUCGAUAUAAAUAAAAAGUAGUUGAUCAAGUAAAUAUGCAGUGUUAAUCAUUUGUGUAGGUUACGUUUUACUCAAGAUUUCUUAGAUUGUAAUCUUCAAAUAAAUAAACAAACAAACAAACAAAAGUCACUAUCAACCCAUUCAAUUUAGUAAGACUGUUAUAUAUGAUCAUAUGCACAAUGCAUGAAAUAAUUUUCAUACCCAACUGUUCCAGUUACGAAGUUAAUCAUCAUUUUCUAUACAAAAAUGUUGUCAUGUAAAUGAAAUUUCUUCUUAAUAAGGUGGUUGCAGGACACCAAAACACUAAUUUAUCUGUCAUGGCAUAGCUUUCUCAUACAUAUUCCUCGUUGUAUACGUGGGAGAUCCUAAUAGAAUAGAAGGAGCGUAGUUAAAGUAGAAAUGAAAAGAAAAAAAAAAUACACACAUCACGUUCACAAGCAGAACCUGAUGUCGAGGAAUCCGUAGUCCGCACUGUGAUGCCAAGAACUGAUCCCGCACCACCCACCAAUUACUUUGAUCUGCACUAAUUUCUCCAAACGCAUAUGUCACAGUACCUUUCGGACCAACAAUAAUUCAGCUUCAAAAUGUUGCCUUCAUAAUAUACAAAUUUUACUCCAUAGGAUAUAUAUGCAGAACAGUGUUGAAUAUCAACAAUUCGUGUCACGGUGACAUAAAUUUUUGACUGUGUGACAUCAGAAUCGGACAUACCCAAGUGCUAAGAACGAAUCUUUAUUAGGUCUUAGAUUUAGGAGAGAAGAGACGAAGUUGGAAUUUCUACCAAUUACGCUGAAAAAUGGCGCCGUUAUCUCUACGCUACGCUCCUAGCCCUGGAUCUGAUCAGUCCAACAAAACGCACCGUUUUCUGGCCUGAAGCAACAACAGCAAGCACUGAACUGAUACGACGUCGUGCCUUUCAAUU